CCGAUGGAGGGGGAUAACUACUGGAAACGGUAGCUAAUACCGCAUAACGUCGCAAGACCCAAGAGGGGGACCUUCGGGCCUCUUGCCAUCGGAUGUGCCCAGAUGGGAUUAGCUAGUAGGUGGGGUAACGGCUCACCUAGGCGACGAUCCCUAGCUGGUCUGAGAGGAUGACCAGCCACACUGGAACUGAGACACGGUCCAG
rnacentral:rRNA from 1 species